UUGACGGGCGGUGUGUACAAGGCCCGGGAACGUAUUCACCGCGCCAUGGCUGAUGCGCGAUUACUAGCGAAUCCAGCUUCACGGAGUCGAGUUGCAGACUCCGAUCCGAACUGAGAUAAGGUUUAGAGAUUCGCAUCCGGUCGCCCGGUAGCUGCCCUUUGUCCUUACCAUUGUAACACGUGUGUCGCCCCGGAUGUAAGGGCCGUGCUGAUUGACGUCAUCCCCACCUUCCUCACAGCUUACGCUGGGCAGUCUCUUCAGAGUCCUCAGCAUCACCUGUUAGUAACUGAAAAUAAGGGUUGCGCUCGUUAUGGCACUUAAGCCGACACCUCACGGCACGAGCUGACGACAACCAUGCAGCACCUCGUAGGCAGUCAUUGCUGAAAAGGAUGUUUCCACCCCUGUCUCCCUACGUUCAAACCCGGGUAAGGUUCCUCGCGUAUCAUCGAAUUAAACCACAUGUUCCUCCGCUUGUGCGGGCCCCCGUCAAUUCCUUUGAGUUUCACCGUUGCCGGCGUACUCCCCAGGUGGAUUACUUAACGCUUUCGCUGUGCCGCUUACUGUGUAUCGCAAACAGCUAGUAAUCAUCGUUUACUGCGUGGACUACCAGGGUAUCUAAUCCUGUUUGAUCCCCACGCUUUCGUGCUUCAGUGUCAGUUGUAGCUUAGUAAGCUGCCUUCGCAAUCGGAGUUCUGCGUGAUAUCUAUGCAUUUCACCGCUACACCACGCAUUCCGCCUACCUCAUUUACACUCAAGUCUUACAGUUUCAACGG
rnacentral:rRNA from 1 species